rnacentral:rRNA from 1 species
UACGAGGGGGGCAAGCGUUGUCCGGAUUUAUUGGGUUUAAAGGGUGCGUAGGCGGUUCCAUAAGUCAGUGGUGAAAUACGGCAGCUCAACUGUCGAGGUGCCAUUGAUACUGUGGAACUUGAGUACAGACGAGGUAGGCGGAAUUGACGGUGUAGCGGUGAAAUGCUUAGAUAUCGUCAAGAACACCGAUAGCGAAGGCAGCUUACUAGACUGUAACUGACGCUGAGGCACGAAAGUGUGGGGAUCAAACAGG